CCCUUAGAUGUUCUGGGCCGCACGCGCGCUACACUGAUGCAUUCAACGAGUUUCUUCCUGGUCCGAGAGGAAUGGGUAACCUUUUGAAAGUGCAUCGUGAUAGGGAUAGACUAUUGCAAUUAUUGGUCUUCAACUAGGAAUUCCCAGUAAGCGCGAGUCAUAAGCUCGCGUUGAUUACAUCCCUGCCCUUUGUACACACCGCCCGUCGCUACUACCGAUUGGAUGGUUUAGUGAGAUCCUCGGAUUGGUCACGGCACGGUGGCAACACUGCGUCGGUGUGCCGAGAAGACGAUCAAACUUGAUCAUCUAGAGGAAGUAAAAGUCGUAACA
rnacentral:rRNA from 1 species